rnacentral:SRP_RNA from 2 species
GCCAGGCGUGGUGGCGGGCGCCUGUAGUCCCAGCUACUCGGGAGGCUGAGGCAGGAGAAUGGCUUGAGCCCAGGAGGCGGAGGUUGCAGUGAGCCGAGAUUGCACCACUACACUCCAGCCUGGGCAACAGAGCAAGACUCUGUCUCAA